ACAAAAGCUAUGAAGGGUAAUAGUAAAUAAGAUUUCACUUUAAGAGAGUGGAUGGUUGGUGUGAAUCCAUAGUGAAACUUAUUGAAUCCGACCUUGAGCUGCAUAGGGGUAACAACCUAUGCCGGAGUUAUCCGUUAUUAUAAAGAGGCUAUUAUUAAUAAUAGCAAAAUAAGGUGGUACCACGUGGAUUAUUAUGUCUUCGUCCUUGGA
rnacentral:ncRNA from 1 species